AGCGAACGCUGGCGGCAGGCCUAACACAUGCAAGUCGAACGUAGUCUUCGGACUUAGUGGCGGACGGGUGAGUAACACGUGGGAACGUACCUUUUGGUUCGGAACAGCUCAGGGAAACUUGAGCUAAUACCGGAUGAGCCCUUAGGGGGAAAGAUUUAUCGCCGAAAGAGCGGCCCGCGUUAGAUUAGCUAGUUGGUGAGGUAAAGGCUCACCAAGGCUACGAUCUAUAGCUGGUCUGAGAGGAUGAUCAGCCACACUGGGACUGAGACACGGCCCAGACUCCUACGGGAGGCAGCAGUGGGGAAUCUUGCGCAAUGGGCGAAAGCCUGACGCAGCCAUGCCGCGUGAAUGAUGAAGGUCUUAGGAUUGUAAAAUUCUUUUACCAGGGACGAUAAUGACGGUACCUGGAGAAAAAGCCCCGGCUAACUUCGUGCCAGCCGCCGCCGUAAAAC
rnacentral:rRNA from 1 species